AAACUCUCCAAUGUGCGAAAGCGUGAGAGGGGAAUUCACAGUGCUUACGGUUUAGCCGUAGGCUUUUGCCAUGUGUAAAUAGCAUGGCGAAUAAGUGGUGGGUAAGACUGGUGCCAGCCGCCGCGGUAACACCAGCGCCACGAGUGGCUAUCGCGAUUAUUGGGCCUAAAGCGUCCGUAGUCGGUUCUGUACAUCCUCUGUGAAAUCGCAGCGCUCAACGUUGCGGCAUGCGGAGGACACGGCAGAGCUUGAGACCGGGAGGCGUGUAGAGUAUUCCACGGGGACCGGUAAAAUGGUAUAAUCCGUGGAGGACUACCUGUGGCGAAGGCGCUACACGAGAACGGAUCUGACGAUGAGGGACGAAAGCCAGGGGAGCAAACCGGAUUAGAUACCCGAGUAGUCCUGGCCGUAAACGCUGUCUGCUAGGUGUUGCACCGACUUGAGUCGUUGCAGUAUCGGAGCGAAGGUAUUAAGCAGACCGCCUGGGAAGUACGGUCGCAAGACUGAAACUUUA
rnacentral:rRNA from 1 species